GAUAGUGUUACAGUGCACUAUGGUGUGGUAUAGAAGUAAUGGUUAGUUUGGUUCUCCUGUUGCUUCUUCAACUUGUUAUUGGCGAUGGAUCCGUAGGUUAUUUGUUUGAUUUUCGAUGAGUACGUUGGCUGCAGACGACGUAGUGCUGAAAGUUGUGACGAAACACCCUAUCCUUUUUGGGAGAAUCUGGAUUGGGUCGAUG
rnacentral:lncRNA from 1 species